rnacentral:rRNA from 1 species
GAACUGAAGAGUUUGAUCAUGGCUCAGAUUGAACGCUGGCGGCAGGCCUAACACAUGCAAGUCGAGCGGAUGAAGGGAGCUUGCUCCUGGAUUCAGCGGCGGACGGGUGAGUAAUGCCUAGGAAUCUGCCUGGUAGUGGGGGAUAACGUCCGGAAACGGGCGCUAAUACCGCAUACGUCCUGAGGGAGAAAGUGGGGGAUCUUCGGACCUCACGCUAUCAGA